AGAGUUUGAUCAUGGCUCAGAACGUACGCUGGCGGCACGCCUAACACAUGCAAGUCGAACGCAGUAGCAAUACUGAGUGGCAAACGGGUGAGUAUAAUGUGGGAAUCUGCCUUUUGGUUUGGAAUAACACGGGGAAACUUGUGCUAAUACCGAAUAAGCCCUUACGGGGAAAGUUUUAACGCCGAAAGAUGAGCCCGCACUUGAUUAGCUAGUUGGUAAGGUAAAAGCUUACCAAGGCAACGAUCAAUAGCUGUUCUUAGAGGAAGACCAGCCACAUUGGGACUGAGACACGGCCCAGACUCCUACGGGAGGCAGCAGUGGGGAAUCUUGCACAAUGGGGGAAACCCUGAUGCAGCGAUGCCGCGUGAGUGAAGAAGGCCCUUGGGUUGUAAAACUCUUUCGUCGGGGAAGAAAAUGACUGUACCCGAAUAAGAAGGUCCGGCUAACUUCGUGCCAGCAGCCGCGGUAAUACGAAGGGACCUAGCGUAGUUCGGAAUUACUGGGCUUAAAGAGCUCGUAGGUGGUUAAAAAAGUUGAUGGUGAAAUCCCAAGGCUCAACCUUGGAACUGCCAUCAAAACUUUUUAGCUAGAGUGUGAUAGAGGUAAGUGGAAUUUCUAGUGUAGAGGUGAAAUUCGUAGAUAUUAGAAAGAACACCAAAUGCGAAGGCAACUUACUGGGUCACUACUGACACUGAGGAGCGAAAGCAUGGGUAGCGAAGAGGAUUAGAUACCCUCGUAGUCCAUGCCGUAAACGAUGUGUGCUAGACGUUGGAAAUAUAUUUUUCAGUGUCGCAGCGAAAGCAUUAAGCACACCGCCUGGGGAGUACGACCGCAAGGUUAAAACUCAAAUGAAUUGACGGGGACCCGCACAAGCAGUGGAGCAU
rnacentral:rRNA from 1 species